rnacentral:pre_miRNA from 1 species
UAUUAUGGCUGAGCAAAGAAAGUGGAUUUCUGAGAUGGAAUCCACUGCUGGUGAAGAUGCUGUGAA